rnacentral:rRNA from 1 species
AUGGGUGGCGGGGGAGGCGCCUGGUUCCUUGGGUGGGGGAGGGAAAAUAAUCCUAUAAGACCCGGGUCGUACGUGGUCAAGGUGAGACCCUCCUCCCCGAGCGACACCUGGCAAACCGAAUCUCAAAGCACCAGUUUCUUUCAUUCCCCAUUACCAAAUCUUGUUCAGCUACCCGACGCUCCCAAACUCCAGCGCAGUGUGAUCCGCCCCGGCUGCUCGCUGUCGACGCCGCCGCUGGUGCGCUCCUCAGCCGCCAGUGUGCGGCUGCUCGCCGUCGCUGCCGUCGCCGGUGUGCUCCUUGGCUGCUCGCCGUCGCUUUCGCAUCCUUGUUUGUUGGCGCCCCAGCUCCCUUGCGACGUUUGUUGGCUGCCCAGCUCUUGGCAUGGCUGCAGCUGCUUGUCCCCGUCGGCGUGA